rnacentral:piRNA from 1 species
UGGCCAAGUAUGCCCAGUGCUUUGGUGUGCC